rnacentral:rRNA from 1 species
UACAGAGGUCCCAAGCGUUGUUCGGAUUCACUGGGCGUAAAGGGUGCGUAGGCGGUCAGGUAAGUCUGGUGUGAAAUCUCUGGGCUUAACCCAGAAAUGGCAUUGGAUACUAUUUGGCUUGAGAGUUGGAGGGGGGACUGGAAUUCUUGGUGUAGCAGUGAAAUGCGUAGAUAUCAAGAGGAACACCAGUGGCGAAGGCGAGUCCCUGGACAACUUCUGACGCUGAGGCACGAAAGCUAGGGGAGCAAACAGG